rnacentral:rRNA from 1 species
CGGUUGAUCCUGCCGGAGGCUAUUGCUAUCAGGGUUUGACUAAGCCAUGCGAGUCGAGAGGUGAAAGACCUCGGCAUACUGCUCAGUAACACGUGGAUAAUCUGCCCUCAGGUGAGGAAUAAUCCCGGGAAACUGGGGCUAAUGCCUCAUAGGAGACGGGUGCUGGAAUGCUCUGUCUCUGAAAGGUCCGCCGCCUGAGGAUGAGUCUGCGUCCGAUUAGGUUGUUGUUGGGGUAACGGCCCACCAAGCCAUUGAUCGGUACGGGUUGUGAGAGCAAGAGCCCGGAGAUGGAUUCUGAGACAUGAAUCCAGGCCCUACGGGGCGCAGCAGGCGCGAAAACUUUACAAUGCGAGCAAUCGUGAUAAGGAAACCCUGAGUGCCUGUCAAUGCAGGCUGUUCUGGUGUUUAGUCAGCACCAGGAGAAAGGGCGGGGCAAGACCGGUGCCAGCCGCCGCGGUAAUACCGGCUGCUCGAGUGAUAGCCACUUUUACUGGGCUUAAAGCGUUCGUAGCUUGGUCGUUAAGUCUCUGGGGAAAUCUUUUGGCUCAACCAAAAGGCGUCUCAGAGAAACUGGCGACCUUGGAACCGGGAGAGGUAAGACGUACUUCGGGGGUAGGAGUGAAAUCUUGUAAUCCCCGAGGGACGACCGAUGGCGAAGGCAUCUUACCAGAACGGCUUCGACAGUGAGGGACGAAAGCUGGGGGAGCAAACCGGAUUAGAUACCCGGGUAGUCCCAGCCGUAGACGAUGUGCGUUAGGUGUGUCAGUGACCACGAGUCGCUGAGGUGCCGAAAGGGAAACCGUGAAACGCACCGCCUGGGAAGUACGGUCGCAAGGCUGAAACUUAAAGGAAUUGGCGGGGGAGCAC